rnacentral:rRNA from 1 species
UACGGAAGGCAGCAGGGGGAAUAUUGCACAAUGGGCGAAAGCCUGAUGCAGCUAUGCCGCGUGUAUGAAGAAGGCCUUAGGGUUGUAAAGUACUUUCAUCGGGGAGGAAAAAACAAAACUAAUAAUUUUAUUUCUUGACGUUACCCGAAAAAGAAGCACCGGCUAACUCCGUGCCAGCAGCCGCGGUAAUACGGAGGGUGCUAGCGUUAAUCAGAAUUACUGGGCGUAAAGAGCACGUAGGUGGUUUUUUUAAGUCAGAUGUGAAAUCCCUGGGCUUUAACCUAGGAACUGCAUUUUGAAACUGAAAUACUAGAGUAUCGUAGAGGGAGGUAGAAUUCUAGGUGUAGCGGUGAAAUGCGUAGAUAUCUGGAGGAAUACCUGUGGCGAAAGCGGCCUCCUAAACGAAUACUGACACUGAGGGUGCGAAAGCGUGGGGAGCGAAACAGGGAUUAGAUACC